rnacentral:rRNA from 1 species
AGCUCCAAUAGCUUAUAUUAAAGUUGUUGCAGUUAAAAAGCUCGUAGUUGUAUCUCUUAUGGGAGGGAUCGGUCCAGCAUUCUUUGUGGAAGCUUUUAUCCUCUCCGGCCAUUCUUGGGUGGGUCUUGUCUGGGAUUAAGCUGUCAGUCAGGAGAUGCCCAUCGUUUACUGUGAAAAAAUUAGAGUGUUCAAAGCAGGUUUAUGCCAUUGAAUAUAUUAGCAUGGAAUAAUAAGAUAGGGCCCUGGUACUAUUUUGUUAGUUUGCGUACCGAGGUAAUGGUUAAUAGGGACAGUUAGGGGUAUUUUUAUUCAGUAUUCAGUGGUGAAGUACUUAGACUUACGGAAGACAAACUACUGCAAAAGCAUUUACCAAGGAUGUUUUUA